GAGAGUUAAACAGUACGUGAAAUUGUUGAAAGGGAAACGAUUGAAGCCAGUCGUACCUGCGGACAAUCAGCUUUUUGAGUGUGAUUAUGUGGAUUGUGAGGAGUUUAAUCACCCUCAUGUUUUACGUAUUCGUGCUCUUGGGUGUACUUGCCCGUGUGGUAGGUUAACAUCAAUUUUGGUCGUCAUAAAAUGACUGGAGGAAUGUAGCUUUGGUCUCGUAUCGAAGUGUUAUAGACUCUGGUAGAUGUGACGAUUGGGAUUGAGGAUUGCAACGGAUACCCUUCGGGGCUACUCGUCUGAUCUCUGAAGGUUGCUCCGGUACCGAAAGCGUGCUUACGGUCAUCGAAAGUGAUUUUCAAAAGGUUAGAACGGGUUAAAUUCGUUAAGGAUGUUGACGUAAUGGCUUUAAACGA
rnacentral:rRNA from 1 species